rnacentral:rRNA from 1 species
AUUGGACGCUGGCGGCAUGCCUUACACAUGCAAGCCGAACGGUAACAGGUCUUCGGAUGCUGACGAGUGGCGAACGGGUGAGUAAUACAUCGGAACGUGCCCAGACGUGGGGGAUAACGAGGCGAAAGCUUUGCUAAUACCGCAUACGAUCUAAGGAUGACAGCAGGGGACCGCAAGGCCUUGCGCGUUUGGAGCGGCCGAUGGCAGAUUAGGUAGUUGGUGGGAUAAAAGCUUACCAAGCCGACGAUCUGUAGCUGGUCUGAGAGGACGACCAGCCACACUGGGACUGAGACACGGCCCAGACUCCUACGGGAGGCAGCAGUGGGGAAUUUUGGACAAUGGGCGAAAGCCUGAUCCAGCAAUGCCGCGUGCAGGAUGAAGGCCUUCGGGUUGUAAACUGCUUUUGUACGGAACGAAAAGGCUCUGGCUAAUACCUGGGGCACAUGACGGUACCGUAAGAAUAAGCACCGGCUAACUACGUG